rnacentral:tRNA from 1 species
GGCUCUGGGGUGUCACACGCGAGAUUGCAAAUCUCGAGAAGCAGAAUAAUAUUUCUGCCGGGGCUU